rnacentral:antisense_RNA from 1 species
GUUAGCGGCCAGGCCUGAACCCCAGUGGGAUAUUCUACUUCCCCAUCCCAGGAAUGGAGGGGGACUCCAGCGAAAUUACAGGGAAUUCGUGGUCACGGGACCGGCCUCCGCCAAUCGCUCGUCUGGGCCUGGUGGAAAACAGAGAGCAUUAUUUGGUUUAAUUGAUUCAAAAACACCAGAGGACCACGACCAGGACACCAUGAGCCCCCAUUCCUACACCAGUGCCUCACAUGCUCUCUCCCCAAUGCCUCCGUUUCUCCAGAAAAGCUAGAGGAACCUUUUCCUCAUCCCCUUCGAAGGAAAAGAUGAGUGAGGAUCUCCGCGUUGGAGGAAGAGGGAGUCGAAAGAGGCUUCCACUCUUUGAAAAAGACCCAAUGGUGGUUGGGCUUCGGGUCACGUGACACCUUCUUUGUAGCUCCGGAAGAGGAUUGUGAAGUUUAGGUUUCGUGGAAGAAACCGAUAAUUGAGGAAAAAAAUCAAGAUUUGGGGGGAAUUACCUACAAAGAUGUAAGGUGUGUUAAUUUGGGCGCUUCUUGGAUUCUACCCUGAGGAGGAGGCGCGUGGUGAGAGGAGAGCUCCACCAGCUGUGCGCUCGUGUACGCCGUCCGCGCCCGCUUGGACGCCGCCGACCCCGGGGGGCUCUUGUCCCCUCCCCCGCCGCCGCCGCCACCGCCCCCGCUGCCACCACUGCCUCCGCCGCCGCCGCCACCGCCGCCGCCACCACAGGCCUCUGCUGGAUCCGAGGGGGAGGGGUGGGAAGGGGAGAAAAUGAAAUAAAAGAUAAUUACUGAACACGCCGAAA